GCACGCAUGGUAUACCACACAUGCUUGUGAUUUGUAGCAUCUACUACAUCUACUACUUUGUGUGAUAGCGGCGACCGCUGUGGUUAGUGAAAGUUGCUUUGGUGCAUGGUGGAAGUGAAAAAAGUCAUGUUUCGGUGUUCAUGUCAUGUGGCGAAACGACUCCUAGUAUGAAUGUUUCCUUUCUUUUUUUGUGCGUUGUGGAAGCCUGCCACUGACUCUGCUGCCUGCUGGCUCAACGCUGCGUUCAGCUCGCACCCUGCCGCUCGUUUUCAAUUUGUUGCCGGAUCAUGUGGUGUGCCGUCACCGUGCAGUGCAGUGUCACGUACUCGCUGGUUGUGUGGAUGGCGUGUCGUGAUGGGUGUUGAAUUGUUGCAAGAUUUGCCAAAGCAGAGCUAGUAGUUCAUCCGACCUUUUCGCUGUUCUCCAUCUGUUUGCUCGUGUGUGCGUGAGUGUUUGUGUGUAUCCCAGUGAUGCCAGUGGGAGCUCCAGAGGCGAUAAAUGUGCUUCAACGGAAACUACAUGAAAAAAAGAAAAAGAAAAUGUGGGUGACCUACGACGCAAGGAAAGCAAGUGACGGCUACGGUGCAGUGACGUAUGUUCCCAGUGUCGUGCGCUGCGCGGCAUGAGCGCACAAGUUCGCAAGCUCUGUUAUGUUUCUGACAUCUUCCACAAGUAAUGUUCGAUGCAUGCGUUCCCCGUGAUCGUUUGACACGUGCCUGCAAUGCAGAGUGGCUUACCGCUUAGAGUUAGCUGCCUGUUUCUGAAGAGAGCUGGUGACCGUGCGUGAGCGCCUGCUUUUUGCACCCCUUUGCGAGUCCUAAAAACGCACGUGUUCUGAUGUAAACAAUAACACGGUACAUAACAACUGGGCUGGCCGCACUUGUUUCCCUCGUGUUCACUCGUGGAAGAAGGCGCGGUGCUGAUUCGUGUCGUCUCAACAUGAGGGAGAUUGUGGGCGUUAUUGAUUGGGCCUGGAGCCAGCUGCACGGGACCAGCCAGUGCUUCGUGGAAUUGAUCUUCAUUCGCUGCCAGUCUACCUCCCGUCGACUGAUCUGGAGGAACAGGACACCCUGUCUUCUGUGCCUGUCAUCAACGCUGCGAGUGCGAGGCUUUCGGAAACAGCAGGUCCACCUGCAUUGACACAGAGGCCUCGGCUGUCCCUGGGAACCGGUGCGGGGUCGCCACCGGGGGCCUUGCGGCACCAGUGUCGCUUCUGCCCAUACGCAACGCGGCACCGGGGCAGCCUGGUGCUGCACGAGCGGGUGCACACGGGCGAGCGGCCAUUUCGGUGCCACCUGUGCAGCCGUGGCUUCGCACACCGUUCGCACGUGGUGCGCCACUUGCGCACGCACACCGGCGAGCGACCCUUCCGGUGCCCGCUCUGCCCGGCCGCCUUUUCGCAGCGCAGCAACGUAAAGGUGCACCUGCGCUCGCACGGCCUGGACGUUGGCAGCAAUCGUCAGACGCAGCCAGCCGACACCAACGGCGCCGCGCACCAGGCACCCACACUACACCUCUGACUGCAGGAAGCACUGACACCGCAGUCUCCAAUUGAGCAUCCAGGUCCAUUUUUGUUGGUCAUCUGCAAUUGGCAGAGCACGUGUUGCUGACUGCAGAAUACUGCUAAUGGAAAAGCACAAAGAGUCCUGCUAAACUUAAUGGAGAGGAAACGAUGCUGCGAUUGUUCAGCUACCGUGGGAAUGAUGGACAGUAAAUUCAAACUUCACUAUAAAGUCCAUGGAUAUAACGAAGUAUCAUAUAUGCCAAAUAAACAUGGAUAUAACAAAUUUUUGCGUGUAACAAAAUAAAUAAUGUUUCAUGUUGAUAUCAACACCUAACGUGUAUGCUCACAGCAAAUAUUAGAUAUAUAACGAAGGUAUUUUUGUGUCCAAUGCCACUUCUAUAUAAUGGUGUUCAACCUUACAUGCAGGGGUUUUCAAACCUUGUGGUCUUGGGGAAAACCACCAGCUUUCCCAGAAUGACAUGGAACCCCUCCCUUCUCCCUCUUUCCACCGAUGUGU